UCUAAAGUUAUGAGUUUUUAUGUCUAACAUUUGAUUGUUCGUUUUAUUUUAAUUUUUUAUUAUUAGAUGAUAAAAUAUAAAUAAUGUUUUAUGUGUUAUUAUUUAAAAAAUUAUAAAUUUUUAAAUAAAGCAAGCGGUUAAACGUUAGAUACGAAAACCCACAGGUAUACAUAAA
rnacentral:pre_miRNA from 1 species